CAGUCGCCGCGGGAAUACGGAGGGUGCAAGCGUUAAUCGGAAUUACUGGGCGUAAAGCGCACGCAGGCGGUCUGUCAAGUCAGAUGUGAAAUCCCCGGGCUUAACCUGGGAACUGCAUUUGAAACUGGCAGGCUAGAGUGUGUCAGAGGAUGGUGGAAUUCCCGGUGUAGCGGUGAAAUGCGUAGAGAUCGGGAGGAACAUCAGUGGCGAAGGCGGCCAUCUGGGACAACACUGACGCUGAGGCACGAAAGCGUGGGGAGCAAACAGGAUUAGAUACCCGCGUAGUCCCUGUCUCUUAUAA
rnacentral:rRNA from 1 species